UAUAUUCUAAUAGCUUAACCUACAAAGCAUUGGUCU
rnacentral:tRNA from 5 species